rnacentral:lncRNA from 1 species
UGAUCAUAUGUUUCAGUACUGUAUGUCUAAUUAACUGCUUGUUACAUCUUUUUUCUUAAAUUAGUAAGAGAUAUUUCGAUCUAUUUUUAAAAUAACCGAUCAUUUUUCAUUUUGUGUGGUCUUCUUUUAAAAUGUAUUCUUCUUAUUAUAUCUAUUUAAAUUUUACAAAAAUAAAUUCAGCACGAAGUCCCAUACAAGAACAGGAUCUGGGGCAAAUGCCUAUAGUUGUAAAAAAAAUAUGAUGUUAGACAUGAUACAUUUUGUGUUUGUAACGAGGGAUAAUCUAAAUAUUAAGUAUAUGAGUUCAUGGAUAAUGGAGAGUAAUGCUGGAUUGGUUGCGAAGUUAUAUAGGUAAGUUCUUGUUGGACCACCUAAUGGGAAGAAUGGAUGAUCGACAUUGGAGUAAUUCCUCCCUUUAUCUUUGAUAGAUACGAAGUGGGAUAUGAGUUUUUGAUUUCUCUCGCGUUUGAUUGCAGCUAAUCUAAUAUAAGGGUCAGAGUCUCUAAGCUGUUCUUCUUCCAAAAUAUUAUUCAACUUGGGAGUGCAACCACGUUAAUUUUCAGUUUAUUUUUCUAACAUACCACCAAGUCAUAUUCUUCUCAAUUAUACUAUGUAUAUACCUACCUAAAACCGAUCCUGCCCAUAUUCCUACAAUACUAUAUUAAUUUUAAAUAAUACAAAAAUAUGAAAUUACAUCAUUA